rnacentral:rRNA from 1 species
GGAUUGCCCCAGUAACGGCGAGUGAAGCGGCAACAGCUCAAAUUUGAAAUCUGGCCCUCGGGUCCGAGUUGUAAUUUGCAGAGGAUGCUUUGGGCGAGGCGCCGUCCGAGUUCCCUGGAACGGGACGCCGGAGAGGGUGAGAGCCCCGUACGGUCGGAUGCCGAGCCUCUGUAAAGCUCCUUCGACGAGUCGAGUAGUUUGGGAAUGCUGCUCUAAAUGGGAGGUAAAUCUCUUCUAAAGCUAAAUAUUGGCCACAGACCGAUAGCGCACAAGUAGAGUGAUCGAAAGAUGAAAAGCACUUUGAAAAGAGAGUUAAAUAGCACGUGAAAUUGUUGAAAGGGAAGCGCUUGUGACCAGACGUGUGGCGGGUGAAUCAGCCGGCGCUCGCGCCGGUGCACUUUGCCCGCCACAGGCCAGCAUCGGUUCGCCGCUGGGGAGAAAGACGGUGGGAAUGUGGCUCUUCGGAGUGUUAUAGCCCGCCGUGCAAUACCCUCCGGCGGACCGAGGUUCGCGCUCCGCAAGGAUGCUGGCGUAAUGGUCACCAGCGACCCGUCUUGAAACACGGACCAAGGAGUCGUCCUAGUAUGCGAGUGUUUGGGUGCAAAACCCCUACGCGAAAUGAAAGUGAACGGAGGUGAGAGCUUCGGCGCAUCAUCGACCGAUCCUGAUGUCUUCGGAUGGAUUUGAGUAAGAGCAUACUGGGCCGGACCCGAAAGAAGGUGAACUAUGCCUGUAUAGGGUGAAGCCAGAGGAAACUCUGGUGGAGGCUCGCAGCGGUUCUGACGUGCAAAUCGAUCGUCAAAUAUGGGCAUGGGG